rnacentral:rRNA from 1 species
CCCCCCGGGGGGAUUUUUGCGCAAUGGGCGAAAACCUGAUGGGGAAACACCGCGUGAGGGGGGGAAGGUCUUUGGAUUUUAAACCUCUUUUCUCAAGGAAGAAGUUCUGACGGUACCUGAGGAAUAAGCCUCGGCUAACUCCGUCCCCGCAGCCGCGGUAAGACGGGGGAGGCAAGCGUUACCCGGAAUUAUUGGGCGUAAAGCGUCCGCAGGUGGUCAGCCAAGUCUGCCGUCAAAUCAGGUUGCUUAACGACCUAAAGGCAGUGGAAACUGGCAGACUAGAGAGCAGUAGAAGANGCAGGAAUUCCCAGUGUAGCGGUGAAAUUGGUAUUGAAAAGAACCCCAUAGCGAAACGUGGGUACUGGGCCGAAC